GAGUUUGAUCCUGGCUCAGGACGAACGCUGGCGGCGCGCCUAACACAUGCAAGUCGAACGAGCGAGAGAGAGCUUGCUUUCUCGAGCGAGUGGCGAACGGGUGAGUAACGCGUGAGGAACCUGCCUCAAAGAGGGGGACAACAGUUGGAAACGACUGCUAAUACCGCAUAAGCCCACAGCUCGGCAUCGAGCAGAGGGAAAAGGAGCAAUCCGCUUUGAGAUGGCCUCGCGUCCGAUUAGCUAGUUGGUGAGGUAACGGCCCACCAAGGCGACGAUCGGUAGCCGGACUGAGAGGUUGAACGGCCACAUUGGGACUGAGACACGGCCCAGACUCCUACGGGAGGCAGCAGUGGGGAAUAUUGCACAAUGGGGGAAACCCUGAUGCAGCGACGCCGCGUGGAGGAAGAAGGUCUUCGGAUUGUAAACUCCUGUUGUUGAGGAAGAUAAUGACGGUACUCAACAAGGAAGUGACGGCUAACUACGUGCCAGCAGCCGCGGUAAAACGUAGGUCACAAGCGUUGUCCGGAAUUACUGGGUGUAAAGGGAGCGCAGGCGGGAAGGCAAGUUGGAAGUGAAAUCCAUGGGCUCAACCCAUGAACUGCUUUCAAAACUGUUUUUCUUGAGUAGUGCAGAGGUAGGCGGAAUUCCCGGUGUAGCGGUGGAAUGCGUAGAUAUCGGGAGGAACACCAGUGGCGAAGGCGGCCUACUGGGCACCAACUGACGCUGAGGCUCGAAAGUGUGGGUAGCAAACAGGAUUAGAUACCCUGGUAGUCCACACUGUAAACGAUGAUUACUAGGUGUUGGAGGAUUGACCCCUUCAGUGCCGCAGUUAACACAAUAAGUAAUCCACCUGGGGAGUACGACCGCAAGGUUGAAACUCAAAGGAAUUGACGGGGGCCCGCACAAGCAGUGGAGUAUGUGGUUUAAUUCGACGCAACGCGAAGAACCUUACCAAGUCUUGACAUCCUGCGACGCACAUAGAAAUAUGUGUUUCCUUCGGGACGCAGAGACAGGUGGUGCAUGGUUGUCGUCAGCUCGUAUCGUGAGAUGUUGGGUUAAGUCCCGCAACGAGCGCAACCCUUAUGGUCAGUUACUACGCAAGAGGACUCUGGCCAGACUGCUGUUGACAAAACGGAGGAAGGUGGGGAUGACGUCAAAUCAUCAUGCCCUUUAUGACUUGGGCUACACACGUACUACAAUGGCGUUAAACAAAGAGAAGCAAGACCGCGAGGUGGAGCAAAACUCAGAAACAACGUCCCAGUUCGGACUGCAGGCUGCAACUCGCCUGCACGAAGUCGGAAUUGCUAGUAAUCGCAGAUCAGCAUGCUGCGGUGAAUACGUUCCCGGGCCUUGUACACACCGCCCGUC
rnacentral:rRNA from 1 species